GAUGAACGCUGGCGGCGUGCCUAAUACAUGCAAGUCGAGCGAACAGACGAGGAGCUUGCUCCUCUGACGUUAGCGGCGGACGGGUGAGUAACACGUGGAUAACCUACCUAUAAGACUGGGAUAACUUCGGGAAACCGGAGCUAAUACCGGAUAAUAUAUUGAACCGCAUGGUUCAAUAGUGAAAGACGGUUUUGCUGUCACUUAUAGAUGGAUCCGCGCCGCAUUAGCUAGUUGGUAAGGUAACGGCUUACCAAGGCAACGAUGCGUAGCCGACCUGAGAGGGUGAUCGGCCACACUGGAAGUGAGACACGGUCCAGACUCCUACGGGAGGCAGCAGUAGGGAAUCUUCCGCAAAGGGCGAAAGCCUGACGGAGCAACGCCGCGUGAGUGAUGAAGGUCUUCGGAUCGUAAAACUCUGUUAUUAGGGAAGAACAAAUGUGUAAGUAACUAUGCACGUCUUGACGGUACCUAAUCAGAAAGCCACGGCUAACUACGUG
rnacentral:rRNA from 1 species